AGGGAUAACCGUGUCUGACGGCGGCGCCUACUCUCCGCAGACCACUGCAAAGUCCUCGUCCGGAAUGGGGACCAAUUCUAUACCAGGAGGGAGGAGUGUGACCAGAAGCACUUUUUCAUCUGCCAGUCUGGCCCCCCGAGGACGCCCCGAGAGACUUCCACGCCCUGGGUGAGAACGACCUGCCAGCAUUUGACGUGCGGCCCGACGGAGGCGACGCCCAUCCUCACCGAAGAG